AUUGAACGCUGGCGGCAUGCUUUACACAUGCAAGUCGAACGGCAGCGCGGGCUUCGGCCUGGCGGCGAGUGGCGAACGGGUGAGUAGUGCAUCGGAACGUGCCCAGUAGUGGGGGAUAGCCCGGCGAAAGCCGGAUUAAUACCGCAUACGACCUGAGGGUGAAAGCGGGGGACCGAAAGGCCUCGCGCUAUUGGAGCGGCCGAUGUCGGAUUAGCUAGUUGGUGGGGUAAAGGCUUACCAAGGCGACGAUCCGUAGCUGGUCUGAGAGGACGACCAGCCACACUGGGACUGAGACACGGCCCAGACUCCUACGGGAGGCAGCAGUGGGGAAUUUUGGACAAUGGGGGCAACCCUGAUCCAGCCAUGCCGCGUGCGGGAAGAAGGCCUUCGGGUUGUAAACCGCUUUUGUUCGGGAAGAAAUCCUCUGGGCUAAUACCCCGGGGGGAUGACGGUACCGGAAGAAUAAGCACCGGCUAACUACGUG
rnacentral:rRNA from 1 species